GACGUAGGGGACGAGCGUUGUCCGGAUUCAUUGGGCGUAAAGCGCGCGUAGGCGGUUUGGUAAGACAGAUGUGAAAUCCCAGGGCUCAACCUUGGAACUGCAUUUGUGACUGCAUCGCUGGAGUGCGGCAGAGGGGGAUGGAAUUCCGCGUGUAGCAGUGAAAUGCGUAGAUAUGCGGAGGAACACCGAUGGCGAAGGCAAUCCCCUGGGCCUGCACUGACGCUCAUGCACGAAAGCGUGGGGAGCAAACAGG
rnacentral:rRNA from 1 species